rnacentral:rRNA from 1 species
GGGUUGUGAGGUUAAGCGACUAAGCGUACACGGUGGAUGCCCUGGCAGUCAGAGGCGAUGAAGGGCGUGCUAAUCUGCGAUAAGCGCCGGUAAGGUGAUAUGAACCGUUAUAACCGGCGAUACCCGAAUGGGGAAACCCAGUGUGACUCGUCACACUAUCAUUAACUGAAUCCAUAGGUUAAUGAGGCGAACCGGGGGAACUGAAACAUCUAAGUACCCCGAGGAAAAGAAAUCAACCGAGAUUCCCCCAGUAGCGGCGAGCGAACGGGGAGGAGCCCAGAGCCUGAAUCAGCAUGUGUGUUAGUGGAAGCGUCUGGAAAGGCGCGCGAUACAGGGUGACAGCCCCGUACACAAAAGCGCAUGUGCUGUGAGCUCGAUGAGUAGGGCGGGACACGUGGUAUCCUGUCUGAAUAUGGGGGGACCAUCCUCCAAGGCUAAAUACUCCUGACUGACCGAUAGUGAACCAGUACCGUGAGGGAAAGGCGAAAAGAACCCCGGCGAGGGGAGUGAAAAAGAACCUGAAACCGUGUACGUACAAGCAGUGGGAGCCCCACCACUAAGCCAGUGGUGAACUCCACAUACGCAUCCUUUGCUGAGGAUACGGUUAACGGAGCGAAAGCGACGUUCAACCUCAAAAGAAGCAGAGGGGGCUUAGUGGUGGGGUGACUGCGUACCUUUUGUAUAAUGGGUCAGCGACUUAUAUUCUGUAGCAAGGUUAACCGCAUAGGGGAGCCGGAGGGAAACCGAGUCUUAACUGGGCGUUAAGUUGCAGGGUAUAGACCCGAAACCCGGUGAUCUAGCCAUGGGCAGGUUGAAGGUUGGGUAACACUAACUGGAGGACCGAACCGACUAAUGUUGAAAAAUUAGCGGAUGACCUGUGGCUGGGGGUGAAAGGCCAAUCAAACCGGGAGAUAGCUGGUUCUCCCCGAAAGCUAUUUAGGUAGCGCCUCGUGAACUCAUCUCCGGGGGUAGAGCACUGUUUCGGCUAGGGGGCCAUCCCGGCUUACCAACCCGAUGCAAACUGCGAAUACCGGAGAAUGUUAUCACGGGAGACACACGGCGGGUGCUAACGUCCGUCGUGAAGAGGGAAACAACCCAGACCGCCAGCUAAGGUCCCAAAGUCAUGGUUAAGUGGGAAACGAUGUGGGAAGGCCCAGACAGCCAGGAUGUUGGCUUAGAAGCAGCCAUCAUUUAAAGAAAGCGUAAUAGCUCACUGGUCGAGUCGGCCUGCGCGGAAGAUGUAACGGGGCUAAACCAUGCACCGAAGCUGCGGCAGCGA